GCGGUGGCCACUACUGUGCGGUGCACGACAUCCAGUCCUCGAUACACGUUUGACCUUACCUGCCAAAUACGGAAGGCCACUCUCCGUUGCUUUUCUAUUUUUUUUUUAAUUUUUGUUUCUUGAAUCAGUAAACCAAGAUUGAUCGGUAUUUAUUGAAAAACAAGAUUGAUCGGUAUUUAUUGAAAAACAAGAUUGAUCGGUACUCGGUAGUUAUUGAAAAACAAGAUUGAUCGGUAGUUAUUGGAAAACAAGAUCGAUCUGUACUGUGGCGGUUAUCCUUUUUUUUUUUAAUUUUUGUUUCUUGAAUCAGUAACCCAAGAUUGAUCGGUCUUUAUUGAAAAACAAGGUUGAUGGGUAGUUAUUGGAAAUCAAGAUCGGUCUGUACUGUGGCGGUUAUCCUUUUUUCCCCCGCCUUUUUUCGUUUCAAAAGUCUCGGUUCUAAUCUCUGUCCCUAAUCCGUCUCUGCAAGCUUCGAAGAGGAAGACGAAGCAGUAGGGUUUUAGUCACCCAAAAUCACCUUCCAGCAGCAGGAAGACCGGCUCCAAUCCGUCGGAAUCUCCAGUCUCUAGCCGACUGGGUCUGGGGUUCAUCGACCGCCGCCGGAUCCUUUUCCCGGUAGGGUUUCGCCCAUCUAGUUGUUCUCCACGGGUUUCGAUCUCCAGCUGGAGUGGGGUCCCCUACUGCUCCACCUGCUCCUCUGCCUCUCCCUUCUACUUUUCACCCGCCUGCACCUCCUCAGCUGGUGUUUUCGCCUGUGCGAAGCUACUGCAACUGCACGGCCGUUUCCUAAGCUUCGCUUCUCGUCUCUCAGGCCCUAAUCUGUCUCUGUAAGCUUCGAAGAGGAAGACGAAGCAUUAGUGUUUCAGUCACCCAGAAUCACCCUCCAGCAGCAGGAUGUCCAGCUCCAAUCCGUUGGAAUCGCCCGUCCCUGGCCGACUGGGCCUCGGGUUCAUCAACCGCCGCCGGAUCCUUUUCCCGGUAGGGUUUCGCCCAUGUACUAAUUCUCCACGGGUUUCGAUAUCGAGCCUGAGCAGGGGUCUCCUACUGCUCCACCUGCUCCGCCUCCUCCCUUCUCCUUUUCACCCGCCUUCACCUCCUCAGCUGGUGCUUUGGCCGGUGCGAAGCUACUGCAACUGCGCCGCCACUUUCUAAGCUUCGUUCUCGUCUUUGACAUUGCAGGUUGUGUGACCAGAAUAUAUCCAUAUGCUGGUUGCUGAAUCCAUACUUUUCUUUGGGGAGACAAUAAGGGUUCUAAGGAACCCUUGUCCUACUUUCAGGUGUGAGGCUGAUCUUCUUCAUCAUUGAGUUCCAAGAGGAUCCAACAAAUAUCAGGGACUGUUUGGAUGCUUUCCUCAAAAGGAGCCUUGUAUUGACAUUAAUUGUUGGAGAAGAAUUGCUCCCUCAAUCUGAAGUAAAUAACAUUGUUGGUAUGCUUGAAGAAUUAAAGGUUGUAAGCACAAGAAUAAUGUGCAUUCUGUGGAGAAGAGGUUGAACCUUUGCAACCACUUGUCUGGAGUCUGGACAAAUCAUUGUACAAAACACAUUCUUGACUCUAGCAGCUAACAAGUAAGGUGCUCACAGAAGAGUGGCUCCAUUAGAACAAGAAUAACCACCUAAGGCCAACAGAAAAAUGGAGAUACCGAGGAAAUGCUAACAUGUUUGCCGAUAAACACUUUGAUGGUGGAUGUCAGAGUCUCAGGAAUCUUUCGCAAUAAAGUCUUCAAGGCUCACAUGAUAUCACAGACCUUCUGAGCUUCCAUCUGGAGCCGGAUGGAAGAAGGGUUGGACGGUGGAUCUGAGGUUCCCAAUUAUUGGUUUUGAAAGGCUCCCUAAAAUAUUUUCAAGACUGGUUGAAAGAAGAAAAGGAAAACUCAUACGGAGUUCUCAUCUCUGUGACUGUGUGGUCGAAGCAUGUGAGCAAAAAGCCUGCUGGACGUUAUAUAAAGGGAGUGGCAGACUAAGAGAAUCCCGAGCGACAUAGAAAGAACAGAGGGAGUAUGGCGCCUAAAGAUAAGAGAGUAGCAUUACUGGAAGCAUUAAAUGGUCGCCUUCGGAACCGGGCAGUCAAAUUGGGGAUAGAAGAGAAAACUCCAACCAUUAUGGGGAUAACAGAAGAUGGAGACCAAAUCGUAAGGGUAUUGAGCAACGAUGAGCUGGAGACAUGCAUUAUUAUCGGGCGUCAUAGUCCGUUUUCGUCUUUUUGCCUGCGGAUUCCUGCAAACCUACAAGUUCUUAAACGAAGGGCUGAAGCAGCUGGUUUUAAAGUGGAGGUGGAGCCUUUGAAGAAACUUUAAUGACGCUUUCUUCUUUUUCUUAAGUUCAGUUCAGGGUUCUGUAAUAAUGAAGACCAGACGAUCUUUGCACUCUUUAUGCAUGCAUGUGUGAUUUUACAAUCA